UACGAAGGGGGCUAGCGUUGCUCGGAAUCACUGGGCGUAAAGCGCACGUAGGCGGCUUUUUAAGUCAGAGGUGAAAUCCUGGAGCUCAACUCCAGAACUGCCUUUGAUACUGAGAGGCUUGAGUCCGGGAGAGGUGAGUGGAACUGCGAGUGUAGAGGUGAAAUUCGUAGAUAUUAGGAAGAACACCAGUGGCGAAGGCGGCUCACUGGCCCGGAACUGACGCUGAGGUACGAAAGCGUGGGGAGCAAACAGG
rnacentral:rRNA from 1 species